rnacentral:rRNA from 1 species
AGAAAGCUUGCUUUCUUGCUGACGAGUGGCGGACGGGUGAGUAAUGCUUGGGAAUCUGGCUUAUGGAGGGGGAUAACGACGGGAAACUGUCGCUAAUACCGCGUAUUAUCGGAAGAUGAAAGUGCGGGACUGAGAGGCCGCAUGCCAUAGGAUGAGCCCAAGUGGGAUUAGGUAGUUGGUGGGGUAAAGGCCUACCAAGCCAGCGAUCUCUAGCUGGUCUGAGAGGAUGACCAGCCACACUGGAACUGAGACACGGUCCAGACUCCUACGGGAGGCAGCAGUGGGGAAUAUUGCGCAAUGGGGGGAACCCUGACGCAGCCAUGCCGCGUGAAUGAAGAAGGCCUUCGGGUUGUAAAGUUCUUUCGGUAUUGAGGAAGGUUGAUGUGUUAAUAGCACAUCAAAUUGACGUUAAAUACAGAAGAAGCACCGGCUAACUCCGUGCCAGCAGCCGCGGUAAUACGGAGGGUGCGAGCGUUAAUCGGAAUAACUGGGCGUAAAGGGCACGCAGGCGGUUAUUUAAGUGAGGUGUGAAAGCCCCGGGCUUAACCUGGGAAUUGCAUUUCAGACUGGGUAACUAGAGUACUUUAGGGAGGGGUAGAAUUCCACGUGUAGCGGUGAAAUGCGUAGAGAUGUGGAGGAAUACCGAAGGCGAAGGCAGCCCCUUGGGAGUGUACUGACGCUCAUGUGCGAAAGCGUGGGGAGCAAACAGGAUUAGAUACCCUGGUAGUCCACGCUGUAAACGCUGUCGAUUUGGGGGUUGGGGUUUAACUCUGGCGCCCGUAGCUAACGUGAUAAAU